rnacentral:rRNA from 1 species
UAGCGAACAAGUACCGUGAGGGAAAGGUGAAAAGCACCCCGAUGAGGGGAGUGAAAGAGACCUGAAACCGAACACCUACAAGCAGUCGGAGCCUCCUUGCGGGGUGACGGCGUACCUUUUGUAUAAUGGGUCAGCGACUUACAUUCAGUGGCGAGGUUAACCGAAUAGGGUAGCCGUAGAGAAAUCGAGUCCGAACAGGGCGACAGUCGCUGGGUGUAGACCCGAAACCAAGUGAUCUACCCAUGGCCAGGAUGAAGGUGCGGUAACACGCCCUGGAGGUCCGAACCCACUAAUGUUGAAAAAUUAGGGGAUGAGCUGUGGGUAGGGGUGAAAGGCUAAACAAACUUGGAAAUAGCUGGUUCUCUCCGAAAACUAUUUAGGUAGUGCCUCAAGUAUCACCAUCGGGGGUAGAGCACUGUUAUGGCUAGGGGGUCAUUGCGACUUACCAAACCAUUGCAAACUCCGAAUACCGGUGAGUGCGAGCUUGGGAGACAGACAUCGGGUGCUAACGUCCGGUGUCAAGAGGGAAACAACCCAGACCGCCAGCUAAGGUCCCAAAGAUUGGCUAAGUGGAAAACGAAGUGGGAAGGCUAAAACAGUCAGGAUGUUGGCUUAGAAGCAGCCACCAUUUAAAGAGUGCGUAAUAGCUCACUGGUCGAGGGUUUCGGCGCCGAUAAUGAUCGGGAAUAAGCAAUGUACCGAAGCUGCGGGCUGCGUAAGCAGCGGUAGGAGAGCGUUCCUGUCAGCAGAGAAGGCGUCCCGAAAGGGUCGCUGGAGCGUCAGGAAGUGAAUAUGCCGGGUUGAGUAACGAUAAAGCAGGUGAAAAUCCUGCUCGCCGAAAAUCUAAGGUUUCCUGGGGAAGGUAAAUCCGCCCAGGGUCAGCCGGGACCUAAGGUGAGGCCGAAAGGCGUAGCCGAUGGACGGCAGGUUAACAUUCCUGCGCUACUGUGGAGAUCAAACAUGAGUGCGGAUCGGUCAGCCCUGCGUAAGCACCAGCUUGCUGAGGCCCUUGAGGCCGCUGCAGGGGGCUCCGGUCCCGAGAAAAGCUCAUGUGGCAAAGCAGUACCCGUACCAAAACCGACACAGGUAGAUGAGGUGAAUAACCUAAGGCGCUCGAGAUAACGGAAGUGAAGGAACUAGGCAAAUUGACCCCGUAAGUUCGCGAUAAGGGGUGCCUACGCAAGUAGGCCGCAGAAAAUCGGCUCUAGCAACUGUUUAUCAAAAACACAG